GUGUCCCCAAAACGGUUGAGCACAGUGCAUUGUUCUGAAGAGGAGGGGAUAAACCGUCCUUCAAUGGUUAAUUAAUUCACAGUGCGAACUUGAUGUUCAACAGGCAGUUUGGAAGGUUCUAUAAUAUCUAGAUCUAUAAUGUCUACUGAAGACAACUUGACUUGAUUAGAGACAGCGUUUCAUUUUUGACUUGACUCCACAAGAUAACGAAAACAGGCUUGGCCUACUCUGCUGUCACACAAUUGCUUAUCCUUUUCACAUAUCUUUCUGCCUCUUUACAUUCAUAAGGCCGACUAUUGGUGCUAUCAUUGUCAGUGCACAUACACAAACUUGUGUUUGUGAGUGGCCCUAACAAGAGACAAGGCGCCUAUUGUACAAGACCAGCAGCAGAUUACUAGAAUUCCUUUUCUCUACACUUGCUCAAUGGCUUCUCAGUCUACUCCAUCUGGACUGCCUAAAAACCCACACUGGCAACUUUAAUAUUUGAACGUCUUUGUCAUUCUUCAACUGUUGCUGCUGUUUAACCUUCUCACCACAGUAUGUUGGAGACCUAUAACGAAGAUAUGGACAGUUUGGCUAAAGACAGUUAGACCAUCUCCAUGUUGAGAUGUAUUUCUGUAUUACAGCUGGACAUUGGAGCGGACCCUCUGUGGCCAAAAUAGGGACACAUUGGGACCAAACAGCAUCCCUUUGUGAUCAAAGUGGAGGCGUCCCCCUGCCUAUCUCAGUUGCUCAAUUUACUAUUGUUCUCGUUUUGUUUUAUGUUGUCUUGUCUCGU
rnacentral:lncRNA from 1 species